UACGGGGGGAGCAAGCGUUGUUCGGAUUUACUGGGCGUAAAGGGCGCGUAGGCGGCCACCGCAAGUCGACUGUGAAAGUCUCCGGGCUUAACCCGGAAGGUCAGCCGAUACUGCGGGGCUAGAGUGCAGAAGGGGCAACUGGAAUUCUCGGUGUAGCGGUGAAAUGCGUAGAUAUCGAGAGGAACACCUGCGGCGAAGGCGGGUUGCUGGGGCUGACACUGACGCUGAGGCGCGAAAGCGUGGGGAGCAAACAGG
rnacentral:rRNA from 1 species